rnacentral:rRNA from 1 species
AUUGAACGCUGGCGGCAUGCUUUACACAUGCAAGUCGAACGGCAGCGCGGUCUUCGGCCUGGCUGCGAGUGGCGAACGGGUGGGUAAUGCAUCAGAACGUGCCCAGUAGUUGGGGAUAGCCCGGCGAAAGCCGGAUUAAUACCGCAUAAGACCUGAGGGUGUAAGCGGGGGAGCGAAGGGCCUUGGGCUAUUGCGCGGGCGGAUGUCGGAUUAGCUAGUUGGUGGGGUAAAGGCUUACCAAGGCGACAAUCCGUAGCUGGUCUGAGGGGACGACCGGCCACACUGGGACUGAGACACGGCCCAGACUCCUACGGGAGGCAGCAGUGGGGAAUUUUGGACAAUGGGGGCAAGCCUGAUCCAGCCAUGCCGCGUGCGGGAAGAAGGCCUUCGGGUUGUAAACCGCUUUUGUUCGGGAAGAAAACCUCUAGGCUAAUACCCCGGGGGGAUGACGGUACCGGAAGAAUAAGCACCGGCUAACUACGUG